rnacentral:lncRNA from 1 species
CAGAAAUGCAAAGGCAGAUUCGGGAGGCUGCGAGUGGCCUGCUACAGGGAGGCCCCGCCCUGGGCCACGCCCUGGAGUGGACGCUGGAAAACGUGCUUCUGACAGGGCGGACACUGAAGACAUUGAUCAGGAAACGCCAGCAAAAGGAAGACAUUUGGGCCCCACCCACGGUCCUUGUCCCAUGGGUCCUGAGGAAGGCGAGUGCCUGAAUUAUGUCUUGAAGUAGUACUACAGCCAGGAAGAAGAAGCUUGCUACCGCCUCUGGUUUGGGGACUGUGGGGGCAAGGCCAACCAGUCUGAAACCAGAGAAGAGUGUGAGACAUGGUGUAG